GACGAACGCUGGCGGCGUGCUUAACACAUGCAAGUCGAACGGAAAGGCCCUGCUUUUGUGGGGUGCUCGAGUGGCGAACGGGUGAGUAACACGUGAGUAACCUGCCCUUGACUUUGGGAUAACUUCAGGAAACUGGGGCUAAUACCGGAUAGGAGCUCCUGCUGCAUGGUGGGGGUUGGAAAGUUUCGGCGGUUGGGGAUGGACUCGCGGCUUAUCAGCUUGUUGGUGGGGUAGUGGCUUACCAAGGCUUUGACGGGUAGCCGGCCUGAGAGGGUGACCGGCCACAUUGGGACUGAGAUACGGCCCAGACCCCUACGGGAGGCGGCAGUGGGGAAUAUUGCACAAUGGGCGGAAGCCUGAUGCAGCAACGCCGCGUGCGGGAUGACGGCCUUCGGGUUGUAAACCGCUUUCGCCUGUGACGAAGCGUGAGUGACGGUAAUGGGUAAAGAAGCACCGGCUAACUACGUGCCAGCAGCCGCGGUGAUACGUAGGGUGCGAGCGUUGUCCGGAUUUAUUGGGCGUAAAGGGCUCGUAGGUGGUUGAUCGCGUCGGAAGUGUAAUCUUGGGGCUUAACCCUGAGCGUGCUUUCGAUACGGGUUGACUUGAGGAAGGUAGGGGAGAAUGGAAUUCCUGGUGGAGCGGUGGAAUGCGCAGAUAUCAGGAGGAACACCAGUGGCGAAGGCGGUUCUCUGGGCCUUUCCUGACGCUGAGGAGCGAAAGCGUGGGGAGCGAACAGGCUUAGAUACCCUGGUAGUCCACGCUGUAAACGGUGGGUACUAGGUGUGGGGUCCAUUCCACGGGUUCCGUGCCGUAGCUAACGCUUUAAGUACCCCGCCUGGGGAGUACGGCCGCAAGGCUAAAACUCAAAGGAAUUGACGGGGCCCCGCACAAGCGGCGGAGCAUGCGGAUUAAUUCGAUGCAACGCGUAGAACCUUACCUGGGUUUGACAUGGAUCGGGAGUGCUCAGAGAUGGGUGUGCCUCUUUUGGGGUCGGUUCACAGGUGGUGCAUGGCUGUCGUCAGCUCGUGUCGUGAGAUGUUGGGUUAAGUCCCGCAACGAGCGCAACCCUUGUUCACUGUUGCCAGCACGUUAUGGUGGGGACUCAGUGGAGACCGCCGGGGUCAACUCGGAGGAAGGUGGGGAUGACGUCAAAUCAUCAUGCCCCUUAUGAUUUGGGCUACACACGUGCUACAAUGGACAAUACAGAGGGCAGCGAAACCGCGAGGUCAAGCAAAUCCCAUAAAGUUGUUCUCAGUUCGGAUUGUAGUCUGCAACUCGACUACAUGAAGCUGGAAUCGCUAGUAAUCGUAGAUCAGCAUGCUACGGUGAAUACGUUCCCGGGUCU
rnacentral:rRNA from 1 species